rnacentral:rRNA from 1 species
GCGAUACAGGGUGACAGCCCCGUACACAAAAAUGCACAUACUGUGAGCUCGAUGAGUAGGGCGGGACACGUGGUAUCCUGUCUGAAUAUGGGGGGACCAUCCUCCAAGGCUAAAUACUCCUGACUGACCGAUAGUGAACCAGUACCGUGAGGGAAAGGCGAAAAGAACCCCGGCGAGGGGAGUGAAAAAGAACCUGAAACCGUGUACGUACAAGCAGUGGGAGCCUCUUAAUGGGGUGACUGCGUACCUUUUGUAUAAUGGGUCAGCGACUUAUAUUCUGUAGCAAGGUUAACCGAAUAGGGGAGCCGAAGGGAAACCGAGUCUUAACUGGGCGUUAAGUUGCAGGGUAUAGACCCGAAACCCGGUGAUCUAGCCAUGGGCAGGUUGAAGGUUGGGUAACACUAACUGGAGGACCGAACCGACUAAUGUUGAAAAAUUAGCGGAUGACUUGUGGCUGGGGGUGAAAGGCCAAUCAAACCGGGAGAUAGCUGGUUCUCCCCGAAAGCUAUUUAGGUAGCGCCUCGUGAAUUCAUCUCCGGGGGUAGAGCACUGUUUCGGCAAGGGGGUCAUCCCGACUUACCAACCCGAUGCAAACUGCGAAUACCGGAGAAUGUUAUCACGGGAGACACACGGCGGGUGCUAACGUCCGUCGUGAAGAGGGAAACAACCCAGACCGCCAGCUAAGGUCCCAAAGUCAUGGUUAAGUGGGAAACGAUGUGGGAAGGCCCAGACAGCCAGGAUGUUGGCUUAGAAGCAGCCAUCAUUUAAAGAAAGCGUAAUAGCUCACUGGUCGAGUCGGCCUGCGCGGAAGAUGUAACGGGGCUAAACCAUGCACCGAAGCUGCGGCAGCGACACUAUGUGUUGUUGGGUAGGGGAGCGUUCUGUAAGCCUGUGAAGGUGUACUGUGAGGUAUGCUGGAGGUAUCAGAAGUGCGAAUGCUGACAUAAGUAACGAUAAAGCGGGUGAAAAGCCCGCUCGCCGGAAGACCAAGGGUUCCUGUCCAACGUUAAUCGGGGCAGGGUGAGUCGACCCCUAAGGCGAGGCCGAAAGGCGUAGUCGAUGGGAAACAGGUUAAUAUUCCUGUACUUGGUGUUACUGCGAAGGGGGGACGGAGAAGGCUAUGUUGGCCGGGCGACGGUUGUCCCGGUUUAAGCGUGUAGGCUGGUUUUCCAGGCAAAUCCGGAAAAUCAAGGCUGAGGCGUGAUGACGAGGCACUACGGUGCUGAAGCAACAAAUGCCCUGCUUCCAGGAAAAGCCUCUAAGCAUCAGGUAACAUCAAAUCGUACCCCAAACCGACACAGGUGGUCAGGUAGAGAAUACCAAGGCGCUUGAGAGAACUCGGGUGAAGGAACUAGGCAAAAUGGUGCCGUAACUUCGGGAGAAGGCACGCUGAUAUGUAGGUGAAGUCCCUCGCGGAUGGAGCUGAAAUCAGUCGAAGAUACCAGCUGGCUGCAACUGUUUAUUAAAAACACAGCACUGUGCAAACACGAAAGUGGACGUAUACGGUGUGACGCCUGCCCGGUGCCGGAAGGUUAAUUGAUGGGGUUAGCGGUAACGCGAAGCUCUUGAUCGAAGCCCCGGUAAACGGCGGCCGUAACUAUAACGGUCCUAAGGUAGCGAAAUUCCUUGUCGGGUAAGUUCCGACCUGCACGAAUGGCGUAAUGAUGGCCAGGCUGUCUCCACCCGAGACUCAGUGAAAUUGAACUCGCUGUGAAGAUGCAGUGUACCCGCGGCAAGACGGAAAGACCCCGUGAACCUUUACUAUAGCUUGACACUGAACAUUGAGCCUUGAUGUGUAGGAUAGGUGGGAGGCUUUGAAGUGUGGACGCCAGUCUGCAUGGAGCCGGCCUUGAAAUACCACCCUUUAAUGUUUGAUGUUCUAACGUUGGCCCCUGAUCGGGGUUGCGGACAGUGUCUGGUGGGUAGUUUGACUGGGGCGGUCUCCUCCUAAAGAGUAACGGAGGAGCACGAAGGUUGGCUAAUCCUGGUCGGACAUCAGGAGGUUAGUGCAAUGGCAUAAGCCAGCUUGACUGCGAGCGUGACGGCGCGAGCAGGUGCGAAAGCAGGUCAUAGUGAUCCGGUGGUUCUGAAUGGAAGGGCCAUCGCUCAACGGAUAAAAGGUACUCCGGGGAUAACAGGCUGAUACCGCCCAAGAGUUCAUAUCGACGGCGGUGUUUGGCACCUCGAUGUCGGCUCAUCACAUCCUGGGGCUGAAGUAGGUCCCAAGGGUAUGGCUGUUCGCCAUUUAAAGUGGUACGCGAGCUGGGUUUAGAACGUCGUGAGACAGUUCGGUCCCUAUCUGCCGUGGGCGCUGGAGAACUGAGGGGGGCUGCUCCUAGUACGAGAGGACCGGAGUGGACGCAUCACUGGUGUUCGGGUUGUCAUGCCAAUGGCACUGCCCGGUAGCUAAAUGCGGAAGAGAUAAGUGCUGAAAGCAUCUAAGCACGAAACUUGCCCCGAGAUGAGUUCUCCCUGACUCCUUGAG